AUAACCGCUGAAAGCAUCUAAGCGGGAAGCCAACCUCAAGAUGAGUUCUCUUUUUGGUAAGACCCCUUGUAGACUACGAGGUUGAUAGGACGCAGGUGUAAGUGCAGUAAUGUAUUCAGCCGAGCGUUACUAAUCGGUCGAGCUCUUUAUCUUU
rnacentral:rRNA from 1 species